rnacentral:rRNA from 1 species
CUGGCUCAGGAUGAACGCUAGCUACAGGCUAACACAUGCAAGUCGAGGGGUAGCAGGGUAGCAAUACCGCUGACGACCGGCGCACGGGUGAGUAACACGUAUCCAACCUUCCCAUAACUCAGGGAUAGCCUUUCGAAAGAAAGAUUAAUACCUGAUAGUACUUUUUCAAGGCAUCUUGAGAAAGUUAAAGAUUUAUUGGUUAUGGAUGGGGAUGCGUUCCAUUAGAUAGUUGGUGAGGUAACGGCUCACCAAGUCUUCGAUGGAUAGGGGUUCUGAGAGGAAGGUCCCCCACAUUGGUACUGAGACACGGACCAAACUCCUACGGGAGGCAGCAGUGAGGAAUAUUGGUCAAUGGGCGAGAGCCUGAACCAGCCAAGUAGCGUGAAGGAUGAAGGUCCUAUGGAUUGUAAACUUCUUUUAUAGUAGAAUAAAGUGAUCCACGUGUGGAUUUUUGUAUGUAUACUAUGAAUAAGGAUCGGCUAACUCCGUGCCAGCCGCAGC